GAGGUUGUGGCUCAGUGGUAAAAGUGCUUGCCUGGCAUGUGUGGGGCACUGGGUUCUAUUCUCAGCACCUCA
rnacentral:tRNA from 1 species